rnacentral:rRNA from 1 species
UGUAAGCGUAUACCAAAGUUGUUGCAGUUAAAACGCUCGUAGUCGGAAUUUGGCAGUUCCGGAUGUGUGCACGUCGUGUGCGCACUUCGCGGGGAUUGCUUUUGUGGUCUUGCGUAGGAUGAGGCACUUUUAUUAGUGAACGUCCUCACGCAACCACUUUUUACUGUGAGAAAAUCAGAGUGCUCAAAGCAGGCAUUUGCCGUGAAUGUAUUAGCAUGGAAUAAUAGAAUAGGACUUGGUUCUAUUUUGUUGGUUUGUUGGGACUGAGUAAUGAUUAAGAGGGACAGUUGGGGGUAUUUGUAUUUCGGUGCUAGAGGUGAAAUUCUUAGAUUACCGAAAGACAAACUGCUGCGAAAGCGUCUGCCAAGGAUGUUUUCAUUGA